AGGCAGUAGAGGAAAAGCGCAGAACUGGGGGCCCGAGCGGGGAUGGAAGAGGAAGCAGCUUCAGCUGCCAGUGCCUGGGAGUGGAGGCCUGUCUCAGGCCCAGAAAGGCGACGCAUUAGACUCUGCCUGCGUAGCAGUGGACCUGCCAGCGAGAUGAAGAAUCAAAGCUGAGUGAGAUGAAGCUAUUUGCCCAGGGAGCCACAGCUGGUGUCAUUUAUCACGUGUCUGUCACCUGCCAGGGACUUGUGCAGUUUCUUCAAGUUAGCUCAGCCUCCCCCAGAAGAAUAUAAGCUCCACAGAAUAAGGACUGUCUUCACCAGAGGCUGGAGCACAUAAGAAGCCCUCAGAAAAGGCCGGUGGAAGGAACAAAUCAGUGAGUGAAUGAGCCACAUGGAUAACAAGACACUUGGUGUGCUCAGAUGAAAGGGGGCUCUCCCUGCAAAGACCUGUGUUGCACAAUUCCACUGAGCUCCCUGGAAUGGGAAGCUGGUCCCUCUCAACUCGUGAUUACCACUGUGGAGAUUAAAGGCUUCCUGUUGGAGAGAGCAGUCCCCCAGAGCCAAACAACACUGAUGGCUGGCUGGCAGCCAUCUUGUCAGGGCUGCACUUGGCAGCCAUGGCUGGAGUGACUGGCUCCCUCCUGGGCCAGCCUGCCUGAGGCAAAGUCAAGGUACCCAGGCCAAAACAGUCCCGCUGUGAGCACCUUGCCACGCCUGAGCACUUUCUAGGCCUCCUCAGCUGCAGUGUGCACCACCUUGACCAGGACAGCUGCCCUGGCAUGUCCAAUGGGAACAGGCUGAAGGUCAUUACUCACUCACCUUUACCAAGCACCCUGAGAAUUUCUUAUGUGUGUUAGAGGUAAGAAGAGUAUCUUGGGGAAACCAGUUCAGGGGAGUGUGAGGGGGUGGUGGACGUCACUCCUCCCUGAGCCGGCCAUGUUUACUCCACCAGAGGGCCUGAGCCAGUCAGACACUGGUCUCCCUUGUCUAGUGCCCCCAAACGGCUAAAGAUCAAAAACAUCUGGAACUCUUGGUAAAGAAGCAGACCUCAGGCCUUGUCAUGUGAGUUCUGGCUCAUAAUCUAUGAUAGGGCCUGCAAAUCUGAGUUCUUACAAAGCCACCAGACAGUCUGAUGCCCCUGGCU